UCCAUACGGUUUUCUUCAUGCUCGGCCCGCCACUGAUGGAUAAUCUGUUCACCUUCAACAGUCUUUGUUCCAGCCUAUCUAGGUCUGCAAUAGAUGCUAGAGGAAAGACACCACCCUCUUCCUCUUCAGCCAUCUGCAUUUGGGGUACAAUACGCCUGUUCCCCACUAGAGACUGGACCAGUGAAGUCAGAUGGUUGAUCUUCAUGUCCAUUUUCUCUAGUGUUUCCAGAAUUGCCCUUUCUACAGCUGCAACACAGAAGAUAAUUAAAUUUUUUAUGUAGCUUUGAUGAAUUAAAUUAUGCAUUUUGCAACUUAUUUAAAUUAAUAAAUAACGUACAUGUACAUUGAUUUGUUACAGUACUCAAGACUGGAUUUUCCUGUCUCCCACAAGAAGUACCUGUGGAUGAGCACUCCAGCCGUCUCCAUGAUGGUCUACCUGAAAGACGCCCACUGGAGCUGAGAAAGAUGGGAUGUUCUUCCUUGGUGUGCCCCUGAGGGUCUCAGGACAGAAAAGGUGGAUGAGCACUCCAGCUGUCGCUAUGAUGGUCUGCCUGAGAGAUGCCCGCUGGAGCUGAGAAAGAUGGAGUGGGUGGAUGAGCACUCCAGCUGUCGCUAUGAUGGUCCGCCUGAGAGAUGCCCACUGGAGCUGAGAAAGAUGGA